CUCUUAUAGCCCCACAACCCCCCCNAGGCGCCGUGUGCUUGGUUUUAGGUUGGGGCGACCGCGGAGUACAAUAAAACCUCCACAAUGAAUGGGAACACCCCCUUAUCUGAGGGCCACACCCCCUAAGAAUUAGAACACUAACAUAAAAUGAUCCAUUACUUGAUCAAUGAACCAAGUUACCCUGGGGAUAACAGCGCAAUCCAUUUCAAGAGCCCCUAUCGACAAAUGGGUUUACGACCUCGAUGUUGGAUCAGGGUACCCCAGUGGUGCAGCAGCUACUAACGGUUCGUUUGUUCAACGAUUAAAACCCU
rnacentral:rRNA from 1 species